GAUGAAGAACGUAGUGAAAUGCGAUACUUGGUGUGAAUUGCAGAAUCCCGUGAACCAUCGAGUCUUUGAACGCAAGUUGCGCCCGAAGCCACUAGGCCGAGGGCACGCCUGCCUGGGCGUCACACGUCGUUGCCCCCCCCCCAUCUACUCCUUCGGGAUUGCGGGGGGCGGAUGAUGGCCUCCCGUGCGCCUAGCCGCGCGGUUGGCAUAAAUACCAAGUCCUCGGCGACGCACGCCACGACAAUCGGUGGUUGCGAAACCUCGGUUGCCCGUCGUGUGCGUUCGUCGCGCAUCGAGGGCUCGAAAAAAUGCUCGGCUCCGGCUCGGCUUUCAACGUGACCCCAGGUCAGGCGGGGUUACCCGCUGAAUUUAAGCAUAUCAAUAAGCGGAGGA
rnacentral:misc_RNA from 1 species